rnacentral:rRNA from 1 species
CCACGCAGUAAACGAUGAUAACUCGUUGUCGGCGAUACACAGUCGGUGACCAAGCGAAAGCGAUAAGUUAUCCACCUGGGGAGUACGACCGCAAGGUUGAAACUCAAAGGAAUUGACGGGGGCCCGCACAAGCGGAGGAACAUGUGGUUUAAUUCGAUGAUACGCGAGGAACCUUACCCGGGCUUGAAAGUUAGUGACCGCCUCUGAAAGGAGGCUUCUCUUCGGAGCACGAAACUAGGUGCUGCAUGGUUGU